UACGUAGGGCGCAAGCGUUGUCCGGAUUCAUUGGGCGUAAAGGGCGCGUAGGCGGCGCAACAAGUCACUUGUGAAAUCUCCGGGCUUAACCCGGAGCGGCCAAGUGAUACUGUCGUGCUAGAGUGCGGAAGGGGCUACUGGAAUUCUCGGUGUAGCGGUGAAAUGCGUAGAUAUCGAGAGGAACACCUGCGGCGAAGGCGGGUAGCUGGGCCGACACUGACGCUGAGGCGCGAAAGCCAGGGGAGCGAACGGG
rnacentral:rRNA from 1 species